AACGAACGCUGGCGGCAGGCUUAACACAUGCAAGUCGAAUGCCCCGCAAGGGGAGUGGCGCACGGGUGAGUAACGCGUGGGAAUAUGCCCUUCGGUUCGGAAUAACACAGGGAAACUUGUGCUAAUACCGGAUACGAUCUACGGAUGAGAGAUUCAUCGCCGAGGGAGUAGCCCGCGUCAGAUUAGCUAGUUGGUGGGGUAAUGGCCUACCAAGGCGACGAUCUGUAGCUGGUCUGAGAGGAUGAUCAGCCACACUGGGACUGAGACACGGCCCAGACUCCUACGGGAGGCAGCAGUGGGGAAUAUUGGACAAUGGGGGAAACCCUGAUCCAGCCAUGCCGCGUGAGUGAUGAAGGCCUUAGGGUUGUAAAGCUCUGUCGCAGGGGAAGAAUAAGCAUCGGUAUAAUACGCCGGUGCCCUGACGGUACCCUGCAAGAAAGCACCGGCUAACUCCGUGCCAGCAGCCGCGGUAAU
rnacentral:rRNA from 1 species